CCAAUAUUCAGCGAGUGUGGAGAAACCAUGUCCAAUGGAAACAGUCACCUUCACCUGCACUGCUCCUGGAGAUUCCUUGAGAUGGGUGUCUUCAGAUGGUACUCGCAUCGCUAUCUUUUCCACCUUAGAGCUCAAUGCACCAGUAAUGCAGUCAGGUUACACUGUGACACUGAUUGCAGCCAACGACACCACAUUAACGUCAACUCUGUCCAGAACAGCAGAGAAUGGGAUCACUGUGUCCUGUGUGGACCAGCCUGCGCCUUCAACAACCAUAGGAUCUUCAAUGAUCCAAUUGGUUGAUCUACCAGGAUCACCUUCUACCAUAAGACACUCCAUUGCAAGCAGCUUAGCCCAUGAAGUUAGUGUAUCUGUGCAGUGGAACCCUCCUACUGAGACUGGUGGUAGAGAUGACCUCACCUACACAGUGACCAUCUCACCUCCAGCCCAGCUCUUUGCUACUGUCCUCACAUCAAUCUCUGUCACUGUGACUGUUCAAUACAAUGUGGACUACACUGUCAGUGUUGUGGCUACCAACUGUGCUGGGAACAGUACAACAGCUGAGUACAACUUUAGGAUUGGCGAGUUUUAUUUUAUUUUAUUGGACACAGUGUCAACUCCUUUUCAAGUGGCUGUCUUGCGUUGACCAACCCUGUGAAUGGAGCGUUUGGACCUGUCUCCAGCAGAUUGCCUGGAUCCACAGUAACCAUCCAGUGUGAUGCUGGAUAUGUGUCUGCUGUUACAAUGGUGACAUGUGAAGAUACACUGAUGUGGAGUCUAGACCCUGAGGCUAUUGAGUGUACAUCACUACCCACACUCCCUCCCACAACUCCUCUUCCAAUGAACUGCACAGCAGCACUAUCCCUACCACAAAAUGGCACCAUCAUUAGUGAUCCUUCAGUACCAGCUAUUCCCGGUACACAAGUGACCUUUAAGUGUGACAAUGGACUGUUCCCUGAGGGCAUAAUGACUGCCACCUGUCUAGCUACAGGAGAGUGGAACAAGAUCCUGGGGAAGAUUGUCUGCAGAAAUGAGUCUAGUAAGUUUAUACCUGGUUUAUGGUUCAGUGUACUCAAUUUAUUGAGAUUAAAAUUCGAACUACUAAAACCAUUACCUUCCAAUGUGAUCCUGGGUUCUCACUGGUGGGUGCAGUGACUGCCACUUGCAGCAACUCUGGUCUCUGGGAUCCUGACCCGGCUCUGUUGGAUUGUGUAUCUAGAAGUUUUCAAUCACCCAUCCUAUUUACUGGAGAGAUCUUUCUAUCAGUGUGGUUGUCACGGCAGUUGCUUUCACAGUCAUUGGAUUCCUCACUGGACUCCUAGUGAUGCACCUUUGCUCUCGUAAGAAGGUAGUUUACUUCCCAGCAGCUGAAGGACAAACUAACUUAAGACCCACUGUACUAGCU